rnacentral:rRNA from 1 species
GACGAACGCUGGCGGCGUGCCUAAUACAUGCAAGUCGAGCGAAGCGGUGGAUGGGUGAGUAACGCGUGGGCAACCUGCCCUUAAGUCUGGGAUACCAUUUGGAAACAGAUGCUAAUACCGGAUACUAAAGGAUGGACUUGCGAUGACUUAGCUAGUUGGCAAGGUAAGGGCUUACCAAGGCGAUGAUGCAUAGCGGAGGUGAGAGAGUGAUCGGCCACAUUGAGACUGAGACACGGCCCAGACUCCUACGGUAGGCAGCAGUAGGGAAUCUUCCACAAUGGACGAAAGUCUGAUGGGGCCACGCCGCGUGAGUGAAGAAGGUUUUCGGAUCGUAAAUCUCUGUUGUUGGUGAAGCGGUAAUCAACCAGAAAGUCACGGCUAACUACGUGCCAGCAGCCGCGGUAAUUC